rnacentral:rRNA from 1 species
UACGAAGGGGGCUAGCGUUGCUCGGAAUUACUGGGCGUAAAGCGCACGUAGGCGGCUUUCUAAGUCGGGGGUGAAAUCCUGGAGCUCAACUCCAGAACUGCCUUCGAUACUGGAGAGCUCGAGUCCGGGAGAGGUGAGUGGAACUGCGAGUGUAGAGGUGAAAUUCGUAGAUAUUCGCAAGAACACCAGUGGCGAAGGCGGCUCACUGGCCCGGUACUGACGCUGAUACGCGAAAGCGUGGGGAGCAAACAGGG